rnacentral:rRNA from 1 species
UACGUAGGUGGCAAGCGUUGUCCGGAAUUACUGGGUGUAAAGGGAGCGCAGGCGGGAGACCAAGUCAGCUGUGAAAACUACGGGCUUAACCUGUAGACUGCAGUUGAAACUGGUUUUCUUGAGUGAAGUAGAGGUUGGCGGAAUUCCGAGUGUAGCGGUGAAAUGCGUAGAUAUUCGGAGGAACACCGGUGGCGAAGGCGGCCAACUGGGCUUUAACUGACGCUGAGGCUCGAAAGUGUGGGGAGCAAACAGG